GGCGCGGUGGCGCUGGGCGGUAUCGGGGCGUGGAUCGCCUGCCGGCGGCGGGAGAUACCGCUGCCCGCGUUCGGUGACGCGAUCGCGCCG
rnacentral:tRNA from 1 species